GCGGCAUGGAUUAGGCAUGCAAGUCGAACGUGAAGUCCCGCUUCGGCGGGAUGGAAAGUGGCGCAAGGGUGAGUAACACGUGAGUAACCUGCCCCCGACUUCGGGAUAGCCCCGGGAAACUGGGAUUAAUACCGGAUGCGGCGGCCCUCCGCCGGGAGGGUUUGCCAAAGAUUGAGUUCGGUCGGGGAUGGGCUCGCGGCCCAUUAGCUUGUUGGCGGGGUAGCGGCCCACCAAGGCUACGACGGGUAGGUGGUCUGAGAGGAUGGUCACCCACACUGGGACUGAGACACUGCCCAGACUCCUACGGGAGGCUGCAGUCGAGAAUCUUCCGCAAUGGGCGCAAGCCUGACGGAGCGAUGCCGCGUGAGGGAUGAAGGCCUUCGGGUUGUAAACCUCUGUCACCCGGGACGAAGAAGUGACGGUACCGGGAGAGGAAGCCACGGCUAACUACGUGCCAGCAGCCGCGGUAAUACGUAGGUGGCGAGCGUUAUUCGGAUUUACUGGGCGUAAAGGGUCCGUAGGGGGUCUGUCAAGUCUGAUGUGAAAUUCCGGGGCUCAACCCCGGACGUGCAUUGGAUACUGCCGGACUUGAGUGCGCGAGAGGAAAGCGGAAUUCCAGGUGUAGCGGUGGAAUGCGUAGAUAUCUGGAAGAACACCCGCGGCGAAGGCGGCUUUCUGGCGCGUCACUGACCCUGAGGGACGAAAGCGUGGGUAGCGAACAGGAUUAGAUACCCUGGUAGUCCACGCCGUAAACGUUGUGCACUGGAUGUGGGGGGUCCUUUGGUCCCUUCCGUGUCCAAGCUAACGCGAUAAGUGCACCGCCUGGGGACUACGGCCGCAAGGCUAAAACUCAAAGGAAUUGACGGGGGCCCGCACAAGCGGUGGAGCAUGUGGCUUAAUUCGAGGCAACGCGAAGAACCUUACCUGGGUUUGACAUAUACCGGACCGGCCGUGAAAGCGGUUUUCUCUUCGGAGUCGGUAUACAGGUGCUGCAUGGCUGUCGUCAGCUCGUGCCGUGAGGUGUUCGGUUAAGUCCGGCAACGAGCGCAACCCGUAUCAUCAGUUACCAGCGCGUCAUGGCGGGGACUCUGGUGAGACUGCCCGUGUCAAGCGGGAGGAGGCGCGGAUGACGUCAAGUCCGUAUGGCCCUUACAUCCAGGGCUGCACACGUGCUACAAUGGUCGGUACAAUGGGCGGCAAGACCGCGAGGUGGAGCCAAUCCCCAAAACCGGCCCCAGUUCGGAUCGGAGUCUGCAACUCGACUCCGUGAAGUCGGAAUCGCUAGUAAAGGCGUAUCAGCAACGACGCCUUGAUACGUUCCCGGGCCUUGUACACACCGCCCGUCACAUCAUGGAAGCUGGCUGCACCCAAAGUCGUCGGCUCAACCUUCGGGAGAGAGACGCCUAAGGUGUGUCCACAACUGGGAUGAAGUCG
rnacentral:rRNA from 1 species